ACGGGUGCGGAACACGUACGCAACCUUCCUUCAAAUGGGGGAUAGCCCACCGAAAGGUGGAUUAAUACCCCGUAACAUUUUCUGGUGGCAUCACUGGAUUAUUAUAGCUCCGGCGUUUGAAGAUGGGCGUGCGCCUGAUUAGGUAGUUGGCGGAGUAACAGCCCACCAAGCCUACGAUCAGUAACUGGUGUGAGAGCACGACCAGUCACACGGGCACUGAGACACGGGCCCGACUCCUACGGGUGGCAGCAGUAAGGAAUAUUGGUCAAUGGACGCAAGUCUGAACCAGCCAUGCCGCGUGGAGGAUGAAGGUCCUCUGGAUUGUAAACUUCUUUUAUCGGAGAAGAAACCCUCAAAUUCUUUUGGGGUUGACGGUACCCGAUGAAUAAGCACCGGCUAACUCCGUGCCAGCAGCCGCGGUAAUACGGAGGGUGCAAGCGUUAUCCGGAUUCACUGGGUUUAAAGGGAGCGUAGGUGGGAUGGUAAGUCAGUGGUGAAAUCUCCGGGCUUAACUCGGAAACUGCCGUUGAUACUAUCAUUCUUGAAUAUUGUGGAGGUAAGCGGAAUAUGUCAUGUAGCGGU
rnacentral:rRNA from 1 species